CCUCUCCGUGCUAGGCUUUGGGGAUUUAAUAGCGGGUUUUCAGCCCCGAGAAAAGCUGCCAUCAAAACAUCCCAGAUGUGAUGAAAUUACGAGCCCUCCUCGCAACGCGCAAGUCGAGAAAACUCAUUUGGAUGAUUUCUUUUGCAUCGGAUUUUUUUUCCCCCCCCUCCUCUGAGAAAGAAAGCUUAACACUGCAGCUCCUGAAGGAGAGGAAAGCUUUAGCACCGCUCCCUAUUCACCCAGAGGUACUAUCCUCAAAUUGUGCCUCUUGGCCACGGAUGCUGAUUCUCACAUCGCGACACUCCGACCGGGACGCAUCUGCAGCAGAUUUUUCACAGCAAGUUUUAAGAGCAUCUCCUCAGGGAAAUAGUUUCCUGCGCAUUCCCCCCGCCAGCCUCCCAUCACCUCGGAAAUAUGGUUCAACAUAUGUCAUCGUGACUACACAAAAGCCAUUUGGAACCAUUCACGCGCUAUGGAAGGACAUGGUAUUUGUUAGCAAGGAAACACAGGGACAGUGAGCAGCAGUGCCUGGAGCGGACGGAGUUCAGAUGAAACUUUGAGCUUUCAGAUGCUGGGGCUGGACAUCGCUCCAUCUGCUUGGAUUAAAAUCCAGCACUAUACGCAGAGCACUGACCCUUGCCUCGCUGGGACCUUCACACUGCUUUCCUCCAAGGAUUUCUGCUGAGCUUUCCAAAGUCCCAUUAAUCCAACAGCACCCUUUAAUUUUAGGCAUCGUUCUUGGCUCAUCAACAACAAACCUGCACAGGUAGAGCAUCGCUGGGGGCGAUCAGAACGGGUGAGGGACAUGGUUUGGUGGGGGUGAUGGGCUGAUGGUUGAACUUGGUGGUCUUAGUGGUAUCUUCCAACUGCAGUGUUCCUAUGAUUCUAUAAGCAGGAAGGAAGACAGAAGGAACCCUGCAGUCACCUCCAGGCGUUUCGGGGAAGAAAAAGGUCCCAUCGCACCCAGAAAGGCUCAAUGUGUCACCUGCAGUUUGUUGGCAGCAUUAGGUUCCCUCCUGAUUGGGGAAGAGAUCGCAUGCUUUUCAUGUAAAUGCUCUUUAAUGGAUGUUUAGCAGAAAGCUGACAGCGAUAUGACAGAUAGGAUCCUCACAGGGCUUUCUGCAGUCACGCUGUUAGUUUACUCCUUUCGAUGACAGAGAUCUUGAUCUCUCAGUCUUUCAAGUGCUGUGUAUUUUGGGUUUGGCGGGUGUUUUCUUUUCUUCCCCUAAACAUUGU